rnacentral:rRNA from 1 species
AUGACGGGUAACGGGGAAUUAGGGUUCGAUUCCGGAGAGGGAGCCUGAGAAACGGCUACCACAUCUAAGGAAGGCAGCAGGCGCGCAAAUUACCCAAUCCUAAUACAGGGAGGUAGUGACAAGAAAUAACAAUACAGGACUUUUUGGUUUUGUAAUUGGAAUGAGUUAAGUAUAAACCCCUUUACAAGUAUCAAUUGGAGGGCAAGUCUGGUGCCAGCAGCCGCGGUAAUUCCAGCUCCAAUAGCGUAUAUUAAAGUUGUUGCAGUUAAAAAGCUCGUAGUUGGAUUUCUGUUAAUAAUUUAUAUAAAAUAUUUUGAUAAAUAUUUAUAUAAUAUUAACAUAAUUCAUAUUACUAUAUAUUUUAGUAUAUGAAAUUUUACUUUGAGAAAAUUAGAGUGCUUAAAGCAGGCAUAUGCCUUGAAUACUCCAGCAUGGAAUAAUAUUAAAGAUUUUUAUCUUUCUUAUUGGUUCUAAGAUAAGAAUAAUGAUUAAUAGG